rnacentral:lncRNA from 1 species
UCCAUCAUCGUCGUUCUUUGAAGAUCUCCACCGCCCACCGCCUCCUCCCGAACCUCCGCCGCCGCCAUCAUUUUUGUCUAUCUAAAAGAAAUGCAUGAUGGUCUACAUGUAGUUUUCGUUUUUCAUCUCUCAUCUCCUGGUUAAUUUGUUUGGUGCUAGCUAAAUCAUAUCUAAUUUGUUUGAUUUUUAAUUCCAUAUAUAUAUAUAUAUAUAUGCCAAUGGAUUUAAAAAUCAAACUGUAUCAAUUUUCU